rnacentral:lncRNA from 1 species
UUUGUUAUUAUCUUAACACUCUCUAUUGCUAUCUGCUUCAAUAUAGGAAAAAUGCAGUUACAAAUGUUUCCUGGUUAUAGUUAUUAAGAAUUAUCCCUAAUCUUAGGCUAGAUAUAUACAGAAGAUAAUCGUGUUCUAGAGUGUUCCUGCUGAAUAAAGUUGCCACUUAAUAAGAAACAGAUAUCAUGACUAGGUUGCCCUUGGAACUAACUGUCCAAGCGUGAACAAAUAUAUAUACUACAUCACACAUACACUCACAGUGCACAACACACUUAUACACUUCUCACAUACUCGCCUUUCUUUUACAACUUUCUGGCUCAGCAUGCCCAUGUCAUGAGCUAAUUCUGACCUAACAGAGAGGCUGUGCAGUCUUUCAGCUAGUGGAGGCUGAGAAAAUUGUGCAGCAAUAGGUCCAGUCCCUGGAAGAUGAAGUUAGUUAGCAUUUGGUGCCCAGCCAGCAGCAAUGUGACUUAGGCUUUUCGUCCUAGUAGGAAUUUGACUCAUUGGGCCUGCAAAAGAUUUUCGUGACAAAUGAAAUAUUUUUCUAAACCAAGGACUUGGGGAUAACUUCAGGGUCAAAGACAUCUUAUCAUAUUUAAGAACAGCCACAGGAUGUCUAGGAGCCAGCAGAGGGGCCAGAUAUGCUGCAGUUUAUGCUGUAAAAGGAAGCCUGCCGCCGUGAGUGGUCCAGUGGGAGCUCUUGCUUUGUGUCCUCAGCCUUUCACCUUUCCAUCUGAUGACUUGCUCUGAAUCUUCACUUCCUGGGCAGAGCUCUGAGUAUAGAUGAGGCAAACUUCACAUGGAAAAGAAGCCAUAUUUUGAAAAAACUACACGGAAUCAAAGAGAACUAACUCAAAGAAGCAAAAUUUUGGAGAUAAAACAAGGUAUCUGAUAGCAGUAGUGAUCUCAGGGUGGAUGACCCCCUACUGUUGCUCCUUCUUUUAAAUAAAACUCUUACUUGCAGGAGACAUACUGAAUGUAUUUGACCUUGGUGGCAGCUGGAAUUCAAAAAUCCUGGGUUGUGUUAGUUGACUAAGACAACAUUGUAGUACUGGUAGAGAAUUCUAAAAUCAGAAGAGCUUCAAUCUCUUCUAAUCUAAUUGACUAUGGAGAUUCAGGCAAGUUAUUCUGCCUCUGAGCCAGAUUUAAUUUCCUUAUCUAUAAUGUAAGGAGAAAAUCAAUAACUUUAAUAUUCUCUGAUUCAAAAUGUAAGCAAACAGAGGAAGGUGAUUGGCAACUUAGUUAAUUGGCAGGGUUAUUGGUAAAGAGUGAACACUGGGCAUUAUCCUUAAAGGUUAUGACAUUUGGAUAACCAUCUUGCAUCUUGGUCCAGUAGGCCAGCUACAGUAAUUGCUGUGGGUUAUGCUGAGUCUAGGACUGGAUUCCAAUUAAGCUGUGAUUUUUCACCAGUGCUAACUGUGGAAGGGCAGAUCCAUACAGAGCAUUCCUCAGCUAGGUAGUUUGAAUUAUUCCUAGACAGAUGCCUCCCAUUGAAGAGCACCUGGCAUUUUUACUAAGAGGAGAUCUAGCCAUUCUAGCAACUCUGAUUCACUCUCCUUUUGUUCAUCAUCUAUAUUUCUCCAUGGCUAUCCUUCCAAAGAGAAGCUAUUGCUAUAGUACACCUAACCAGAACAACUUUACCUCAAGGACACAGCUUUAUUAUCUGCUGAGGACCCUGAUCUAAUACUGUCAGGGUAGAGCCUGGUGUUCUGGGGAAAAUUUCAGGUUAUUAAAGCCAGUCCUAAUGGUUGGCUUAGAUAUGGCCUCUGUCUUGAUUUCCCUGCAUAGAACUUCUAUCUUUUAUUAAUUUGGUGCCAGUUGUAUAUUUUAAAGGGAGAGCUGUGGGUCUUGAUUUAAACCUGUAUAUACAUACAAGUACCUUGUUUUGUUAAACUACAUUGUCUUGCUCUUGUCAGUUUUAUCCUUAGAGGUCUGGACGUGCCCCAUCUCUGUACUUGAUUCUGCUGAGAAUACAGAGGUUGACAGUACCAUCAUGGCACACUACUCUGUGUGCACUGACCUAGGGCCUGGCACGCCUCAUAUAGAUACCUCCUAUCCCCUUUGUGCCUGCAUUUGUCUCAACCACAGGCCACAGUAGCUAACAUUCUCAGCUUUUGACCCACUAAUUUUUGGCUUUUGCCCAUCCCCAUUGACUCCCAUGUAGACCCUAUGUUCACCAGAAGGAUCCUCAUGUCUGCAGACUACAUUAAGAGGGAGGAUAUGCCUCUGUGAAUCCAACUGAUAGGUAUCUCCUGUGUGCCAGGGAAUGGCAGGGCCAUGGCUCUCUCAAAGCCAUGCUCAUAAAAAGCCUCCUCUGCAUCGACUUCCAGUCCCAUUUGAUUCUCAAGCAAGGAGUUCCAUCCGAGAAGGAAGCUGUCACCUGUCACUCUUUUAUGAAUUCUUAAGGACAGUGGAAGAGUUGAAAGGUUGGCAAUCACAAUGACAAUAGGCUAUUACAAGCAGGUGAAGAGCCUUCUUCUUUUGCUCCUUACCCCCAACUGCUGUUCAAAUAAUCAAAAAAGGGUCCUCAUUGAAACUGAUUUAAUUCUCAAGAGGAAUGAAAGACAUUUAAAGGGCAAGCCAACUUCAUAAAUGACAUUAAAAGGUUUUAAAAUAGUGUUUUGCUUCUAAAGGGUGUUUGUAAAUGUCAGAGGUAACAUAUUGAUUACAGUCCUGGCAGUUCUUGCUCAGGGCUUCUUAGCUGUCUUUGGCUUAACUCAUGCUGUUGACUUAUGCUCAUGGUAUGAAAUAUCUCAGCCAUCUUACUUUGUUUGCUUAAACUUUUCCAACCUACCAGACUUUAUCCACAUGUGAAUAAAAGGUACCAUCAAAUUAGUGGUGUUUAUAAUUUUUGUGCUUUUUAAUGUCUCGUGAAUUAUAUAAAGUUACGAAAAUGGCUAUAGGAAUUGGCCUACAAACUCUUGAGAUGUCCUAUAAGUUCCUACAAGAUAUUGAAAGUUGGUUGCUUUGAGGAUAUAAUUCUGAAUGUUGAAGCAAAUUAAAAAGCCAACUUGGAAGGGGAUACAUAAUCCUCUUUAAGUCAAGAUGAGGGGUAUAACCUCCCCCAUAUAUUCUGGGCCCAGUCGUCUGUGUUGAAAAGAACUCUGAUAGUUUAUUUGCUGAUACUAUUAAUGGGAGCCAAAAACAUUGUGGAGAAAGGUGAUAUUGUCAUCGUGAAUCUCUCUGAACUCCUGUUCCCAAUUUGUAGCCAGUAAGAGAGCAUGAUUGCUCUGACUACAGGAUUAUACUAAGUCUCUAAGGAAAUGAGAAUAGUGCACAUGUGUACUCUGAUUUAUAGUUUGCAAAGGCCAUUCAAUAAUUGGUAAAGCCGAAACCAAUGAAUUUCCUUCUGAUUUUCAGCACCAUUCAGAAUCUGGACAUAUAAUAUGUUUAUGGCAUUUAACCUAGUCAGACAGUAGAUAUUGCUCUAAGUCAUGGCCUACACCUGUGAGCCUACUUAUAUCAGCAUUUGCCAAAUGUACUUGUAGCUGUGGUACUGACCUCAGAGAACUUAGCCAAAGAGCAAAGACUGCCUAAUUCAAGAAGUACUGGCUGUACAGGAAGCAUAAUGCCAGCAUCUGUUUCUGGUGAGGCCUCAGGAAGCUUUUACUUAUGGUGGAAGGUGAAGGAGGAACAGGUGUCUCACAGGGCAAGAGGAGCAAGAGGGAGCAGGUGGGGAUUGGUGCCACACACUUGUAAACAUCCACAUUUUGUGAGAACUCACUAUCUCAAAAACAGCACCAAGCCAUGAGGAAUCCCUUCCUAUGACCCAAACACCUCCC